CACACACUUAAGAAAGACCAGCCUCAUUUCCUCCCCAGCUCAGGGGGAUCUGAUCCCUCUACCCUGGCAGCAGAUCUUAAAGAGGGAGGGGCCCGGCCACAUCUCUGUCCUAGAGGAGGAGGCGUCAACCAAGCUAGCUGAAGGAAAGGCUGGACUGAACAUGCUCUGCUCUCUCCUUGCCCUUCUCCUGGGCACUCUCUUAGGUGCCCGAGCCCAGACCAUUCAGCAAUGGCCAGCUGUCAGGGUGCAGCCUGUGGGCAGCCCUCUCUCUCUGAAGUGCACCGUGAAGGGGACAUCGAGCCCCACCCUCUACUGGUACCGGCAGGCCGCAGGAGGGCCCCUCCAGCUGCUCUUCUACUCUGUUGGUAUUAACGACACAGUGUCUGAGGAGCCCCUGAACCUCUCAGCCUCCAGGCCCGAGGACGGCCAGUUCAUCCUGAGUUCUGAGAAGCUCCUGCUCAGCCACUCCGGCUUCUAUCUCUGUGCCUGGAUUCUCAGGGAGAACAAACAAUUUUAA